rnacentral:lncRNA from 1 species
AGAUGUCGGCCCGGCCUUCCCUCCCUCCCUUGCCGGCCAAACCCGCUGGAAGCCCGCGGUUGCGGGAGCGCCCUGCGCCCGUGGGACCUGGCGGCGAGGACGCCUAUUCCCUGCUUCUGCGACCACAGCUGGGCACUCGGAAAGUUGCUAGGGCCGAAGAGGCGGGAGGGGAGGAAGGGAAGCGAGAGGCGGAGGCGUGGACCAGGCGGGCAGCAGCCUCAGCCCGCCGAGGAGCAAACGGAGAUGAGAAACAGAUGUCUUUGCAGGACCAAACAGUUAUUCUCCCUCGCCGCCCGCCCCCGCCCGUUUCCCUCCUGAGCUGCUGAUCCUCCGACUGUGAAAAACCAGACCUCUGGCUGCCUGGCUCCCUAGGAAUCAAGAAGACGCACAGACUGAAAAUCAAGGGAGGAAGGAACAAGAUCAAGGAUGAGGAUUAGCAUCUGCAAAUUGAACUCUAUCUAAUUUGCAUGUUUAUUUCUUAGAAUUGUAAUUAAAUUUGUGUAAUAAAUGUUUUCCAUUUCAUUUGUACACUUAAAACUUGGGUGACUGACAUGCAGUUAAGUGAAUUUCCUUUUUUUAAAAGCAAAUGUAGAUUAUUCAAUAAAGCAGCAAACCAAUAUUAAACAUAAUUAGAACUAA